UGUGUUUCUAGCUGUAGUUGGCAGAAAGUUGAGAUCCAAAAGAUCUCGCUGGUUUACAUUAUUGGUGUCUAAGAAAGAGCUAGAGAUGGAUCAAACCUUUGGUGGAAAGAAGAUGCAAUCUCUUAUGCACGUCCAGAGUUUGACUCGACCUAAACACCAAAAAACCUCUUCUCUGUUGUUUGGUGUUGAGAGAGCAUAUACCCACCCAUUCCACCGCCUCUUCUCUUGCUAAACUCCAUCGCCUCUUCUCCGACCAAACUUCA
rnacentral:lncRNA from 1 species